rnacentral:misc_RNA from 1 species
UCCGGCUUAUCACCGGCAGUCUCCCUAGAGUUCCCAGCAUAACCUGAUGGCAACUAAGGACAAGGGUUGCGCUCGUUGCAGGACUUAACCUAACAUCUCACGACACGAGCUGACGACAGCCAUGCAGCACCUGUGCAUGCUGGUAUUGCUACCUCGUCCCCCUUUCAUGGUUCUACCACAUGCAUGUCAAGGCCAGGUAAGGUUCUUCGCGUUGCAUCGAAUUAAGCCACAUACUCCACCGCUUGUGCAGGCCCCCGUCAAUUUCUUUGAGUUUCAACCUUGCGGUCGUACUCCCCAGGCGGGGUACUUCCUGCGUUAGCGCCGGCACCCAGAGGGUCGCUCCCCCAGGCACCUAGUACCCAUCGUUUACGGCGUGGACUAC